UCUGUAGCCUUUCCAGCCAUGGGAGCCUUAAAUAGAAACUUAGGCAGACUGAAAAUAGAAGUGGCUCAGAGGAAAUUGCUUCAACCAUGGGGGAUAAGUUUCAUUUCUGGUAGUCGUAAAAGGGAACUUUCUAACCUCAUCUCCUUGGGUUUAACUUGCAUACAUUACUUCAUUUAGUGGUUUUAAGGGUAGUGAGCAGUGAUUUCUAUGGGACUGCUCAUUUUGGCUCUCACUUCUCUCUGUUUGAGACAGGUAGGUUGGCGGUGAGUAAAGCCUAGGAAAAGACCUGGAGAAAGAGAGUCAGUGGGGGCAGAGGAAGAGAACGGAGGUGAGACCUAGAUCCCUUUUGGGGCCAGAGUGAACUCAUAAUUUAAAGGACAGAAUAUCCAAGUAGGUAGUUUUGGGGAGAAAUUCCAUUUGUGAGGUCUACACAUGCCAAGGACAAUAAGAGAUCACUGAUUUUAAAUAAUCCUCCUGGUGUGCUCUCUCAGGAGACAUCCGUGUUGUCGGUAAUGAAUACAGCUGAACCGGCUCUCGGGCUGAACCAAGCUGACUGGAGCAUGAAGCUUAGUUGCUGGGACAGGGAUUCUCAGAGGUGGGCAGCAGGUUUGAGGCCAGAAUCACUGAGGUUUGGGACCAAUCUUCUUCAGCCACCCCAGUGGUAGUGAUCCAGUUUUCUGAAUUGUUUUCUUAGACCCCCCCUAGAGGAUGGGAGUGGGUUUAAGAAACAGCAGAAGAACGUGUGUACCCAAAUGCAUGGUAACAUAUGCUUGUUCACUGGAACUUUUUCUAUGAAGACUACAGUGGUGGAAAUAGAGGGGAGCAGCCCUCUUGGAAAAUUAAUGUAGGAGUAGCAACAUUUAACCAAAGAGACUGUUUCUCUUUCCUGAAUCUACCGAGGGUGAAAAGAGGAAAUAAACAUCAUACAAAGGAAGCAAGACAGAAAUCCCCUUGGCCACGGAUGCUAGGGCCCCGAAUUGUUCCAAAGGCUUCUAGGAACGGUAAGGAGGCUGAGAAGGUGGGCACAAGCAUCCUUGAAAGCAGCAGAAACGGAUGUAAAAAAGAGAAGACCUUUGAUUCUGCCAGCUGAACUCAGUGGAACAGUUUGAAGACCACUGACAACCCGACUAAGCCUGGUGAAAAUCCAUGGAAAAUGUGCUUGUGAAGCAAAAUGGAUCCAGGAAAACCCCGCUUGGGCUCCUCAAGGAGGAAUCUUUCCGGAAAACCAAGCUGACUUUUCUGCUAUCUUUGUGCUGAUUCCUUCCAGAGAUGGAACCUGAAAACGUUGGAAAGAGAGUCUUCAGAGCAAACAAGUUUAGGUCUUGAGAUCUUGAAAUCAGCACAACUUAUUAGAAG